rnacentral:lncRNA from 1 species
UAAAUAUUUUUCACCUCUCUCAAGUUCUUAAUAGAUUAACUUCUAUUUCUCACAUCUUUUUUAUGUUUUUAAUUGAUUCACAAUUGAAUCAAAUAUUAACUUCAAACUAAAAUUAAACUAAAUCUUAUAUUCUCACACAAGAUCAAAACCACCAUCAUCAAUAACAACAAAGAUCAUCACUUGCCCAUAAAAUUUAACAAAACGCAACAUUUAGAUUCAUCAUGUGUCGGCGGAGGUGAUGGACUGAUGCCAUGGUGAAGAAGAUAGGUGGUGAUGAUGAACUGGUUGUUGAUAAAGUGGUGGGGGUGAUGGUUAUGGACUUAUACUACAGAGGAGGGAGGGUAAAGAGAGAGUAAAAAUAGUAAUUUUUUUGAUUUAAUAAGGAUUAUUCUGAAAAAUAAUAAGAUUAAUUGAAAAGUGCAGUUUGUGAGAUAAUUUGAGCGUUAAAAUAUUAUUACUCAAAAACCUUUGCAUGAAGCUAAAAAUAGUAAGUAAUUCGAUAUGCUAAUCAACGCAGUUGCCAUGUUAACUAUAAAAACAGCCUAAUAAUGAGCUUAGCCUCAAAUUGACCCUCACCGUUGACUUUCCGUUCCUACCAUCACCACUUGCCACCUGGCAUUGUAUCACAUCUCUUCUGUGACCUCUUUUAGCCUCUCUUCAUAACACAUGAAUGGUGCAUUUACUUCCCGGAUUAAGGAAUCGGAAUCCAAAAUCGGAAUGAUUGAUGAUGUUUACUUCGUAAAUAUGGAGCAGGAAUCGGAAUCGUAAUGGUGGGGCCCACCACUAUUUGGGAAUGGGGAAUGAGAGAUUGAUUCUCAUGGGGGGAGGUGGGAAUGAGUCUCCCAUUCUCAGGAUUGACCAUUUUACCCUCUCCAAAAUUAAAAAUGCCUACUUUGUCCUCUUUUAUAAU